rnacentral:rRNA from 1 species
UACGAAGGGUGCAAGCGUUAAUCGGAAUUACUGGGCGUAAAGGGUGCGUAGGCGGUUGUUUAAGUCUGUCGUGAAAUCCCCGGGCUCAACCUGGGAAUGGCGAUGGAAACUGGGCAGCUAGAGUGUGUCAGAGGAUGGUGGAAUUCCCGGUGUAGCGGUGAAAUGCGUAGAGAUCGGGAGGAACAUCAGUGGCGAAGGCGGCCAUCUGGGAAAACACUGACGCUGAAGCACGAAAGCGUGGGGAGCAAACAGG